AAUUCAAUGAGAAACAAUAUUCAGGUCAGGUCAAAGCCUAGAGAAAAAUGCGCAUUCAGAAGUGGGCUGCCAUCCUGCUUUUUCUGAAGUGAACAGCUGCUGGGUAUUGAAACCAGCCCUCACGGUUGGGUCCCUGCCACCAUGGCAACACUCUGGUUUCUGAGCUGGAGUGGCCAAGGCACAAUGGGGUGGUUCCAUGGCCCAGAAGCACUCUAGCUACAGAUUAGAAUGAUGACAAGAGUAAUACCUUCCUAGUGAAGAUGACUUUUAUUUCAGGACUAUAUUAAGUUUCCCAACUUCUGUCAUGAUAUAGUCCAAAGAGAACCUGGACCACGCAGACAUCAAACAGAACAUGACACUGACCCAUUCUAUCAGUGACGUUGUGCUGAUUGCACAGGACAGAUGAGAGGCUCGUAUACUAGAAGUCUUGUUAUCCACAGAAGGAAUGAUCUGCAAUGUACACACGCCAGGACAGAAAUUCUACAGUUGCUGAUAAAAUGUAAACCUUCACAGGUAUACCUGAUGCUGCCAAUUACUGAGCUUUUUGAAGAUUCUGUGGUUUGAAGCCAGCUUAGGACUCAGCUUUUUUGGCUUGUCCAUCUGCUUUCCAGCUUCCAAAAUUUUGUUGCUCCUUAUCAUCUUUCCUAUACUGGCUGGAGUGCAGUUGCGCAAUCUUGGUUCACUGCAACCUCCAUAAAAAUGGCCAGUUUUAAACAUAGUCUCCAACUUUGUGAGCCCCAGAGGAUUCAGUCACAAGGAUUUAGCUUCUAUGGUGAGCAGAUGAGCUCAGAAAGCUGCUGCUGUUGAUUGUCUGGCCAUGGAAAGAGUUCUCAGUCAAAUGAAAGUCUCUGCCUUGGGAUUUAUUAAACACUUUUAUUCUUUGACUUUUCACACAAAUUUUGCAGCAUCAGGUAUCCCCUCCCCUUCUGCUGUCUGCCAUAGUGGAAACAGCCUGAGGCCCUUGCCAGAUAUAGAUGUUCAAACCUGGACUUUCCAGCCACCAGAAUCGUCAGCCAAAUAAACUUCUUUUCUUUCUAAAUCAUCCA
rnacentral:lncRNA from 1 species